rnacentral:lncRNA from 1 species
UUAUACCUGUGUUAUUUUAAUAAUCCAAUAGAUAAUAUCUACUUUAUUUUUAUCUUUCGUUAUUAAAUACAAAAACACUAAUAGAAAAAAAAAAUGACUUAACUCUUUUUAUAUUUUUAAUUUUUAUUUAUUUCCGUUUAUUGCUUUCCUAGCAAUGUUCAUCUUUUUACUCUACAACAUCCAUAACCUUAACUUUGGAAAUAAAAGAGAAUAUGCGAAAGUAUAAGUAGGAGAAAGAAUUCAUUGAAAUCAAACGAAUUGGGCAACGUUAGAUUUUUCUUUAAAAUUCUCAUGCGAUAUUAAUUAGUAGUAUUAUCGUUGCUGCCUGCCUACUUCUAACCUCAACCAAUAUAUGAUCAAUGCUUGAUUUGGUCAAUCUAAAUAAUUAUAAUCGAUGAUUGGAUAUUGUUGAAGGGCGGCCCUAAGGAUGAGAGAGGGAAUGCGUGUGCAAGCCACAUGUGUGAAGAAAAAGAAAAAGGCAAGAGUGAAGAUGACGACGAUUAAAAUCUUGUUUGAUUUCUUUUUCUGAUAAUUUUGUUAAUCUGCUGUUGUUAGUUCCAAAAUUUUAGUUAGCAACAAAAUGACAUGUUUUUGUGUUUAAUAAGGAAAAAGUAAAUAAUAGAUUUUCUAUAGGAUUCUUGGAAUGGAUUAGAUUAGACUAUGGAGAGAAAUAUAUUUGAGAAUAUUAGUGUUGAGUCAUUCUAAUGUCUUUAGUAAUAUAAUUUUUUAUUGAAAUUAGAGUGUUCAAAGUUAGUAAUAAAAAAUUCAUAUAACUCUGGAUUUUUUUAUUGAAUUUAUAUAACUCUGGAUUCUUUUUUUUUUUUUUCAACACUGAUAUGGUUCUGUUCUGUGUAUUUAUAUACAAUUUAAUGUUUACAUACAAGUUAAAUUAGAUCAAUUUAAUAUUUAUAUACAAUCCUUCAAGUCGUAACUCAAUUUUAUGGAGGUUUAUACAUCUUUCAACGAUCAAUUUAAUAUUUAUAUACAAACCUCCGCAUCUUUCAACGAUCUCAUCUGCUGAUUUUUUGUAUUCCUGUUCUUUCACUUCAAUAAUUUUUUGUAUUAUUCCAUAUCUUUCACUUUAAUAACCCAAAAGCUUUCCUCUGUUUCAAUCGAAAGAAAACCCUAGCUUAAACUAAGCGAAAAUUUACAUAUUAAA